GUUUCCGUGGUGUAGUGGUUAUCACAUCCGCCUUACACGCUGCAGGUUCGAUCCCGAGCGGAAACA